rnacentral:rRNA from 1 species
UACGUAGGAUGCAAGCGUUAAUCGGAAUUACUGGGCGUAAAGCGCGCGUAGGUGGUUCAGUAAGUUGGAUGUGAAAUCCCCGGGCUCAACCUGGGAACUGCAUCCAAAACUGCUGAGCUAGAGUACGGUAGAGGGUGGUGGAAUUUCCUGUGUAGCGGUGAAAUGCGUAGAUAUAGGAAGGAACACCAGUGGCGAAGGCGACCACCUGGACUGAUACUGACACUGAGGUGCGAAAGCGUGGGGAGCAAACAGG